GCGGGCGGGGACGAGGAGAAGGGGCACUCACCUCCCCGCAGCCCGGCCUGCCUCGGGAUCUGAAGUUCAAGUGUCUGUCCCAGCCGCGGACCCGUGCCUCUGUAUUUAGGUGGAAAGGGUUCUGGUGGUGGAUUUGGUGCAAAAAGGAUUUGGAGCAUGAUCUGAAGCAUAUCGUGGCCUGAAGAGGAUGUCAGUUAAUAUACAAGUGGAGAUGGACUAAAAGAUUGCCGACCCGUAUAAAGAAGAGCCUGAUUCCAGGGUGAAGAACAGAGAUUGAAAAAAUAAAUAAAAUAAAAUAUAAAAUAACAAAAGGAAAUGAGGAAGAAAAGAGAAGGCAGGAUUUCUUUGCCAGUUCUGAGGAGAUGGCCUAAGAGAUGGCGAGAGCAGGAACACAAGCAGGGGGAGUGGGAGAGGGAGAAGCAGGCUUCCCGCCAAGCAGGGAGCCCGAUGUGGGACUUGAUCCCAGGACCCCGGGAUCAUGACCUGAGCCGAAGGCAGAUGCUUAACGACUGAGCCACCCAGGCACCCACCAUCUUGAAAGUCUUAACUUUAUUUUUGAACUUGUGUUUUACAACUGAAAUCCAGUGAGACAACUGAGCAUUCAAGAGUAGAGAUGUGCUCAGUAUGUGUGUCCGCCCCUCCCUGCCUCCCCAUAAGCGCAGAAUUCUGAGAGACUCACUCGCAGUGUGGGAGUUCGUUGACAUUGUGAGCAUAAGCUAAAUGCGUCACGUCUACAACUGAGUGAGCAGGGUGCUGACAGCUCAAAGAGGCCGUGCUUUCCCUGAGAACGAGAACAUACUUCAAAUACAGAAAAACACAACGAUGUCCUAAGAAACACAGUGACCGAAGAACCCUCUCACAUCCUCUCUUUCUUAUGUUACUUCCCUGAAUUAGCCAACCACUUCAACUAAAAAGAAUGACAUAGACGGGAACAGAGAAACCGAACAACCCGUAAGUCCUCUUCCUUUCAGUCUCUCCUUACCCAUCAGUAAGCCAAAGGCAAAGACUGUUGGUAACUAUGUAUGCAUAUAGACAAAUGAUACAGUUGUGUUUUGUGCAGCACCCCUGCUGUUCUAGUAAGAAUGAAAUACACAUGCACAUACAGGCUCUGAAAUGUGAAUUGUGCAACUUGAGUGAUUUCACAUACGAGUCGAAUGAUCUUAGGUUUGCAUUUAAAACUGGCACUGUAACAUAUAAAGAUGAAUGGCAAAAUUCAUGUUAAAGUUUUAAUGUUUCUUUACUUAGAACAUUAAAAGCAAAUAACAAAACACCAUGGCAAACUGAGAGAGAGUGACCAUAGAAGAAGGAAAAAGCUUUAUAUUUUAGGAAAUUCCUUACUCUCAAACGAGGGGCCCUGCAUUUUCCUUUUGCGCUGGGCCCUACAAAUGAUGUA